rnacentral:lncRNA from 1 species
GUCUCCUAUUAGCUAUUCUUAUUUCAUCCCCACCAUUGCAAUCGAAACCAUCUUUGCUCUUUCAAAGUCAGCUCGAGUCAUACUCAUCCAUUAAGUGUCUGCAAUGAGACAUGACCCACAACAAAUGAAGGGGAUGGAGGGAGAAUGAAAAAAAAAGAAUUAUAUUAAAUGCUAUAUCAGGAUUAGCAGCUUCAAGUGAAGACCAAAUGAGCC